rnacentral:rRNA from 1 species
AGAGUUUGAUCCUGGCUCAGGACGAACGCUGGCGGCGUGCCUAAUACAUGCAAGUCGAACGAGGUUCAACCGGUGGCAACACUGGUGAAGACCUAGUGGCGAACGGGUGAGUACCACGUGAGCAACCUGUCCCGAAGACUGGGAUAACACCGGGAAACCGGUGCUAAUACCAGAUGCCCUCACGAGAUCGCAUGGUCGUGUGAGGAAAUGGAUUCCGCUUCGGGAGGGGCUCGCGGCCUAUCAGUUUGUUGGUGGGGUAACGGCCUACCAAGACAUCGACGGGUAGCUGGUCUGAGAGGACGAUCAGCCACACUGGGACUGAGACACGGCCCAGACUCCUACGGGAGGCAGCAGUAGGGAAUCUUGCGCAAUGGGCGAAAGCCUGACGCAGCAACGCCGCGUGGGGGACGAAUGCUUUCUGAGUUGUAAACCCCUUUCAGCAGGGACGAUUGUGACGGUACCUGCAGAAGAAGCACCGGCCAACUACGUGCCAGCAGCCGCGGUGAUACGUAGGGUGCAAGCGUUGUCCGGAUUUAUUGGGCGUAAAGAGCUCGUAGGCGGUUUGGUAAGUCAGGUGUGAAAUCCCCAGGCUCAACCUGGGGCUGUCAUCUGAUACUGCCAUGACUUGAGUCCGGUAGGGGACCACGGAAUUCCAGGUGUAGCGGUGAAAUGCGCAGAUAUCUGGAGGAACACCAGUAGCGAAGGCGGUGGUCUGGGCCGGCACUGACGCUGAGGAGCGAAAGCGUGGGGAGCGAACAGGAUUAGAUACCCUGGUAGUCCACGCCGUAAACGUUGGGCACUAGGUGUGGGGACUAUUCAACGGUUUCCGCGCCGCAGCUAACGCAUUAAGUGCCCCGCCUGGGGAGUACGGCGCA